rnacentral:rRNA from 1 species
UACAGAGGGGGCAAGCGUUAUUCGGAAUUAUUGGGCGUAAAGGGCGCGUAGGCGGCCUGGCAAGUGGAAGGUGAAAUCCCUCGGCUUAACCGAGGAACUGCCCUCCAAACUGCUUGGCUUGAGUCCGGGAGAGGUGAGUGGAACUCCGAGUGUAGAGGUGAAAUUCGUAGAUAUUCGGAAGAACACCAGUGGCGAAGGCGGCUCACUGGCCCGGUACUGACGCUGAAAUACGAAAGCGUGGGGAGCAAACAGG